UUACAAAGGCUAAUGUUUUAUAAAAAGUCAUUUCAUGGAUCAGGACUCUGCGAGAUCAACUUUCGAAGAUAAACGAAUCGAUAAGGAAAAGGUGUAAUAAUGUUAAAUAAACAGGCGCUUGGUCUAAAUAAUGAUUACUUGCUAGUUUCCUUAAAUUUACAAUUAAUUGACUUGAAGCCAAUUUUAAACAAGUGUUUUCAACGUUAAGUGUUUUAGUUUAUCAAUUUACAAAUGAAGGAAUACUCAAGACAUAUUUUAUGACCCAGCCAAACCUGUAGUUCAUCCUAUUCAAAAAGGUUAAGGCAAUUGAACAACUUGCGCCCUUAAUACUAAGUAGCCGUAAGAUAUAUCAUACGAUGUUCCAUGAAAAAAUAUUUAUAUCCACGCAGAAUUACAGUCAUGUAAGUUUUUUAGGAAAGAGUAAAGGCACCUAUUCUUUUAAUACAAUGUCUCCCAAAUA